AUUGAACGCUGGCGGCAUGCCUUACACAUGCAAGUCGAACGGCAGCACGGGGGCAACCCUGGUGGCGAGUGGCGAACGGGUGAGUAACAUAUCGGAACAUACCCUAGAGUGGGGGAUAACGUAGCGAAAGUUACGCUAAUACCGCAUACGAUCUAAGGAUGAAAGUGGGGGAUCUUCGGACCUCAUGCUCAUGGAGUGGCCGAUAUCUGAUUAGCUAGUUGGUGAGGUAAAGGCUCACCAAGGCGACGAUCAGUAGCUGGUUUGAGAGAACGACCAGCCACACUGGAACUGAGACACGGUCCAGACUCCUACGGAGGCAGCAGUGGGGAAUUUUGGACAAUGGGGGGCAACCCUGAUCCAGCAAUGCCGCGUGAGUGAAGAAGGCCUUC
rnacentral:rRNA from 1 species